rnacentral:rRNA from 1 species
GACGAACGCUGGCGGCGUGCUUAACACAUGCAAGUCGAACGAAAAGGCCCUGCUUUUGUGGGGUGCUCGAGUGGCGAAGGGGUGAGUAACACGUGAGUAACCUGAACUUGACUUUGGGAUAACUUCAGGAAACGGGGGCUAAUACCGGAUAGGAGCUCCUGCUGCAUGGGGGGGGUCGGGAAGUGUCGGCGGUUGGGGGUGGACUAGCGGCUUAUCAGCUUGUCGGUGGGGUGGUGGCCUAACAAGGCUUUGAGGGGUAGCCGGGCUGAGAGGGUGGCCGGCCACAUUAGGACUGAGAUACGGCCCAGACUCCUCCGGGAGGCAGCGGUGGGGUAUAUUGCACAAUGGGCGGAAGCCUGAUGCAGCAACGCCGCGUGCGGGAUGACGGCCUUCGGUUUGUAUACCGCUUUCCUCUGUGACGAAGUGUGAGUGACGGUAAUGGGUAAAUAAGCACCGGCUAACUACGUG